rnacentral:lncRNA from 1 species
UUUUUUUUUUUGAAUUCCGAGUUCUUGUUGUGCUUGUUUUUGUCCUAAAUGAUUUCAGUUUCUGUCUUCUGUAUAUUUGAAUAUCUCACUGCUAUGAAAUUAGGCACUCACUUGUUUAUUAUCUGUUAUAUGAAUGAAGCAGGAUGGUUAGUUGCUACCUUAAUCCUUUGGUGAAGGUUGAGAAUUGUUAAACUUUUGGUUAGUGAGAGCAACUUCCGGAUCAGCUGAAACCAGAUUUGAUUUUGUAACUUUAUUUGAAGAUGGAUCGAUGCGAUACCUCAGGAUUCGUAAGCGGCGGUGGAGAUGCUUAUAAGGUCUUCUAACUCUUUUUUGAGCUGUGGCUUAUUCUCUUAACCCGGAAGGUUCUGCUGUGUACUUUAUUGGCUUCCCCGUCUUUGCUUUUUGGUGUGUUCUUGACCAAAGUUUUCACUUUUAGUUGUGACCAUGCAUACUAGAUUCCAAAACAGUGCUGGUAAUUCCUCUUCUAAUUCUUUUAAGAUAUUGGGCCGUUCUCUUCAAGUUGAUGUCGCCGAGGCCGCGGAUACUACGCUGCGUCUUGAUUCCCUGGCCUCUCCGUUGUCCAAUGCCAAGGGAAUCAAAAGGAAAUGGAAUCUGAUUGAUGGAUCUGAUUCCUUACUUUCCUUAAGACUCGGUCACUCAUCAAGCUCUUCUGAUAGCAAAGGGAGUUCGGCAACUGCUUGCACGAGUUUAUCUUCUGCUAAAGAAACUGAGGAGGCGUCCUCUAUGGAUAUCGAGCUCGACUUUAGUCUCCAUCUUGGCAACGAGAAACCGGCGGCUAGCAACAAAAAGCCAGCUAAUUUGAAAAUGAAAGGGUUGCAGGUCCCCUCCCCAAAAUUUGAUCUUGAACUGAGUCUUUCUGGUGGAGGUUCCUGUCAAUCUGAGAUCACUGCGGUUCAGCAGCACGCCAACCGAUUUCAAACUCUUGCGGAGAUGCUGCGUGCAACUAAUGAAGAAUCCACAUCAUGUGGUUGGAGGCCAGGGUUUGGAUUACCAACAUUGCAAGCUUCUUCAAGCAAAAAAACAAGCUCUUUCUCUGGCCAUGUUCCAAAGAAUGUCAUCAUUCCUGCUGCCCAUGUUCUGGAACUGUCAUCUAGCACGGCAGAAACAACACCAAUUAGCUCGGGUACAUGUACUUCCGGUUUAUCUCAGCAGCUGAAGCCACAGCUUAAGAAUUCUUCUAGUUCCAAGUUAUGUCAAGUAGAAGGAUGUCAAAAGGGAGCAAGAGGCGCAUCUGGCCGUUGCAUUUCCCAUGGUGGUGGACGUAGAUGCCAGAAACAUGGUUGCCACAAGGGAGCUGAAGGUCGAACUGUCUACUGUAAAGCCCAUGGAGGUGGUCGUCGAUGUGAAUUUCUCGGAUGCACCAAAAGUGCAGAAGGCCGUACUGACUUCUGUAUAGCUCAUGGAGGAGGUCGAAGAUGCAGCCAUGAAGAUUGCACACGAGCUGCUAGGGGAAGAUCAGGACUCUGUAUCAGGCACGGUGGAGGCAAGAGAUGCCAAAGAGAGAACUGCACUAAAAGCGCUGAAGGCCUUUCAGGACUCUGCAUCUCUCAUGGUGGUGGUCGGCGAUGUCAAUCUGAUGGAUGCACAAAAGGAGCACAAGGGAGUACAAUGUUCUGCAAGGCACACGGUGGUGGUAAACGGUGUACACACUCAGGUUGCACUAAAGGAGCAGAAGGAAGCACGCCGUUCUGUAAAGGACAUGGAGGAGGUAAAAGAUGUGCCUUUGAAGGAGGUGAUCCAUGUUCCAAGAGUGUUCAUGGCGGUACUAAUUUCUGUGUGGCUCAUGGCGGUGGUAAGAGAUGUGCGGUUCCAGAAUGUACAAAGAGUGCUAGAGGAAGGACUGAUUUCUGUGUCAGACAUGGUGGAGGAAAGAGAUGCAAGUCUGAAGGAUGUGGCAAAAGUGCUCAAGGUAGUACUGACUUUUGCAAAGCACAUGGAGGAGGGAAACGGUGUGCAUGGGGUCAGCCCGAGACUGAGUAUGCGAAACAGUCCUCUGCUGGUCCUUGUACCUCGUUUGCUCGAGGUAAGACUGGUCUUUGUGCACUCCAUAACAGUCUGGUUCAGGAUAACCGGGUUCAUGGAGGAAUGACUGUAACUUCGGAGAGCCAAGAACCAAGAGUAAGCAGCAGCGAAACAGAGAACGAGGAUUAUAGCGGUUCUCAAGACAACAUGAACAUCGAUACAAUGAAAGCAAGAAGUGCUACAGGAUCUCCAGAGACUGAUGUUGAUCUCAAUGAGUAUGAAGCAGGACUGGGGUUAGCUCCAGAAGGAAGAGUCCAUGGUGGAAGUUUGAUGAUGGCGAUGUUGGGUAGAGAUGGUGGCUCUGGCACUACGGAUGGGCAGGUGAGGCCAAAGAGAUGGAUGUAAGCUGUCUUCAGUUUGGUUCCAGUCUUCAAUUCAAUUCAAACGCGUGUGGAGAAUGAAAAGGGUUUAAGAGUCUGUUUGCUCUAGUUUUUAGGUUUGCUUAGAGAGUCAAAGAAAGGAUCCAAAGUCUGUGUCUUUGUGUCGUAUUUUGAUCUCAUUGUCUUGUAGAUAUUGAAGCAAAAGAAUAUUGUGAUGUUGUGAAUGAUGCAGGUAAAAAGCCCACCUGUGAAUUGUCAAAACAGUCUUAUGAUGAUGAUGAUAAUAAAACUCAUGUCUUUGUUUGCAAAUUCCAACUUCUCGCUAAUUGUUGAUACUCUGGCUUAGGCCAGGUCUUUUGGCACACCAUGCUGACGUUGUUUCGGUGACUAUACUCGGACAUUGUGAGCCAUUUGCAAUAUCUAUCAUGCUCUUGUAUCAAUCACAUUCGUGUCUGUGAAAACGUUGUCCAUGAAUUUUUUUUGUUUGUUUGUCUUAGUAAAUUGUCAUUUCCUCAAUUAAAUCCUCGAAAACAAAAAGAAAUGUCAGAAGUGGGAUUUGAACCCACGCCCUCUUUCGAAGACCAGAACUUGAGUCUGGCGCCUUAGACCACUCGGCCAUCCUGACUUUUUGUUUAAUUUAUACGUUUACCGUAUAAAAUACCCGUAUAUAUUUACAAUACCCAUCUCAGAUUUUAUGUGACAAAGUGUAUAAAUAAAUUUUCAGAAGCCAUCGUACACUGCUUAAGUUUUCCAUACAAAACAUCCAAGAUGAGCCCAUACAAGAUAAACCCAAAAUAUGGUAAAGAAUGUGAAGUUCGAAAUGGAUCACUUUAUUUCUUGAGAGACCAAAACAACAAAGCCCAUUUCAUCACUAGAAACAGCAUACAUCAUCACGCGCAUACAAAGGCAAGUGCCGAUACAUUUCGGCGGCACAUCACACAACACAUGGUUCCUUUAGUUAUGGCAGUGGCAGUAACACAACAAACAACACAGAUUAGUUUAGUUUAAUACUCCAUGAAUGGCUCUUCCGUUUUCUCUGCCAAAGGCAUGAGCAGCCAUACCAUUUCAAUCCAACCCGUCAACUUGUUCCCUUACGUGGGUUCCUAUUUUUCAAUCCAACGGCUUCUCAAUCCGCCACGCUUUUUAAAGAUCUAUAACAGAACAGUCAUGCUUUCUAGAUUCUGUCCUCCUACCCCGCUUUAUUACUUAUUUUAACAUUGUCAUCGUUUUUUAUUACUUGUAAUUUGGGGUGAAUUGACACAUAUUAAGAAAAUAAUUAAGUUAAUGUUUUUAUUCGUAACUAAUACACUAAACGUUAGGGACAAAACUAGAAAUUUAAUUCGUCAAAUUAUUUUGCACCGGAAAUACAAAACGACAAGUUACAGUUUUUAACUUUAAGAUGACAAUUAAAAAAAACGUAGGGAGUAGUUGUUACAAAAGUAUCAAAUAGGUGUUUCAUUUUUCUUCUAUAUAAAUCAGCAUUAUUUGGUGUGUUGUGUUUUCAUCUCUACCAGACUACUACACAAAUCCUAAUUUUCAUAUUGUUUCUUGAACAUUUAUUUUGUUUAAACAUUUUUUCAUAAUCUAUACCUUCUCAUGCAUGCUCAAUAGUGUAUUUGUUAAAUAUAUUUUUAAUAAGUUGGACAUGUUUUUCUUAAAAAAUUUUGAAAAGAUUUCAUGAGCAAUAAAUAUUUUUUUUUUCAAUUUUGUUUUUGUGUAUUUAAUUUAAAGUAUUAUUUUUUUAAGAAAGAAACCGAUCUAGUUGUGUCUUUGGUAAUUAAAUCGUUUCUUCCAUGCGUUGUUUUGCUCAUUUUCUAUUGCAUUUUAAGAUUUUUUUUUUCAGAUUUCAAAAUUAAAAUUUUAAUUCUUCAUCUCCAUGUAUCAAUUCUUUCGUUUGAGUUUUGAUUUAAAAGUAAAACUCUAAGUGAGAUCUUUGUUUUUUUUUACAAUCUUCCAAAGUCAUGUUGUCAGAGAUGAUAAUGGGAUGAUAUUAAAUUAGAGAUCUUCUAAACUGAUAUUUUUUCAUUUUUGUUUUUCACAUUAUUAUUUCCAGUUUAAUAUCAUCACAUUAUCAUCUCCGAUUGACAACAUCACUUUGGCAUAUUUUUUUUAAAAACGAAGAUCUUAGUUAGGGUUUUACUUUGAAAUCAAGACUCAAAAAAAAAAUCAAUGCAUGGAAAUGAAGAAAUAAUAUUUUAAUCAUGAAAUCUGUAAAAAUGAAUCCCAAAAUGCAAGAAAAGAUGAGCAAACAAAGCAUGAAAAAACGAUUUAAUUACCAGAGACGAGAAAUAAAUCGGUUCAUUUUCUCAAAAAAACAUAUUUUAAAUUAAAUACAUAAAAACAAAAUAACUGAUAAAAAUGCAAUUAUUGCUCAUGGAAUUUUUUCAAAACUUUUUAAGAAAAACAUGUCCAACUUAUUACAAAAAUAUAAAUACACUAUCAAGCAUUGAUGAGAAGAUAUGGAUUGUGAAGAAAAUGUUCAAAUAAAACCAGAAAUAUAUGAUAUAUUAGUAUGAAUGUUUUACCGACUUUAAAUACAUGUAAAACUGCAUAUGUUUGAAACUUUUCAACUAGCCGAUACAAUAAGACUCAAACAAUAUAUCAAUUGUAAUUUUUUUAUUUACAGCAUGAUAUCUAUACAAUAAGACUCAAUCAAAUAUAUCGAUUUACAUGUUUUCAAUUUACAUGUAUACAUUAACCCAUCGAUAAGUUUGUAUACGUUUGAUUUU